AAGAGCACUUAUUUUCAAGAGUUCAAAAUUAAUUUUAUCGAGGUCUGUUCAAAAUGAAUUUUUCGAGUAGUUUGUCCCAAAAGCAUCCGAGUUGAAUCUUGAAUGCAAAAUCAUGAAACAGAUGGUAAUUCUGAUAGCGUUUUUUUGUUUAUUUGCCUUGGUUUUAGGCUCAAAUACAGAAUACUGCAGUGAAAAAAGUAAUUUACAAGACUGCGCUUUUACUGUUCCAAAAGUACCAAUCGCAAAUUCAGUGUCCGUGAUCAAAUUGGGAUUAACACGAGAUACAUGUUUGGAUCACAUGAAUAGGUUCGGUUGGCAUGUGGGAAUAUUUUGCCCCGAGAGCUUGUUUUGUGGGUUUGGGAUUGGCAGUGUGGGGAAUUUCGAGGCUUCAGGCGAGGCUGCCCCCCUGAGAGAUCUGUGUCACGUGAUCGUGGAUCUCAAACAAAGCCAAUGUGACGUCACUAGAGAGUGGAUGUAUGACGUUGGAUUCAUUCAAAAGUCUCCAUGGACUUGUCUUUCACAUGGGAUCGAAUUGUGCAGCGAUCAGUUCAUGACCAAAUGUGUAGACGUGGAGGGAGGGUUUGUGUGUGAAGGGUGUAUUCAAGGUGCACAGCCAAAAACUCCAGAAGACGAGAGUGCAUGUGUAGAUAUUGACGAGUGCUCGGAGACUCCUGGCAUCUGCGGGACACCCGGAACCUGUUCAAAUCAUCGACUGGGAUACGAGUGCGUCUGUGAGGAAGGCUAUCAGUAUGAUCCUACAGUUUACGGGUCAGGGUGCAUUGAUAUUGACGAGUGUGCCACAGACAUCUGUGCGAGGUCCCGGUCAGUUUGCACCAACACUAUCGGGAGAUACUAUUGCGACUGUCCUCAGGGCUGGUAUUUCGACGAAGCUGUCUACAAUUCAGGCUGCCAAGGUCAUGUAAUUGCACUCCUAAUGAAAAUUGCCUAUCUGCAAAAAAAUACCUGGGAGUAUUGUUUUGCAUGCGGGUUGAGAAAUUAAACGAUAAGCAAAUUAGACGGAGGUACUUAAAAAGAAU